rnacentral:piRNA from 1 species
UACACAUUCUGGAAUAUCUGGCAACUGGC